rnacentral:rRNA from 1 species
UACGGAGGAUGCAAGCGUUAUCCGGAUUUAUUGGGUUUAAAGGGUGCGCAGGCGGAAUUGUAAGUCAGUGGUGAAAUCCUACAGCUUAACUGUAGAACUGCCAUUGAUACUGCCAUUCUUGAGUACAGUUGAAGUGGGCGGAAUGUGUCAUGUAGCGGUGAAAUGCUUAGAUAUGACACAGAACACCGAUAGCGAAGGCAGCUCGCUAAGCUGUAACUGACGCUCAUGCACGAAAGCGUGGGGAUCAAAC